rnacentral:rRNA from 1 species
UUGCACGCUGGCGGCAUGCCUUACACAUGCCAGUCGAACGGCAGCACGGGUGCUUGCACCUGGUGGCGAGUGGCGAACGGGUGAGUAAUACAUCGGAACAUGUCCUGUAGUGGGGGAUAGCCCGGCGAAAGCCGGAUUAAUACCGCAUACGAUCUACGGAUGAAAGCGGGGGCCCUUCGGGCCUCGCGCUAUAGGGUUGGCCGAUGGCUGAUUAGCUAGUUGGUGGGGUAAAGGCCUACCAAGGCGACGAUCAGUAGCUGGUCUGAGAGGACAACCAGCCACACUGGGACUGAGACACGGCCCAGACUCCUACGGGAGGCAGCAGUGGGGAAUUUUGGACAAUGGGCGAAAGCCUGAUCCAGCAAUGCCGCGUGUGUGAAGAAGGCCUUCGGGUUGUAAAGCACUUUUGUCCGGAAAGAAAUCCUUGGCCCUAAUACGGUCGGGGGAUGACGGUACCGGAAGAAUAAGCACCGGCUAACUACGUG